AACAUAGCCUAUUUCAAAAAAAAAAAAGAACGCUUUUCCAAAAAGUGAAAAUAGACAAAACAAUAAUCCAUAAAGCCACAAGAUGAAAAAAUAAAAAAUAAAAGUAAUUGCCUUAUAAUUUGACGAGACAAAAAGGGCCAAAACUCCAUUGUUUAUUAACUACAUCUUUAUUAAUUUCAAAAUGUGUGUUCACUAAGUCUCUGAUUAAAUGUUUUAUAGUUAUCCAACAGAAAGCCAUUCGACAAAGACAUUUCAUCAACAGCUGCUCAACAAAUAAUUCAUUGAACAAAAGACUAUAACAUCCACGGAGUUAAUCAAUUCAGACUGGAGACCAUGUUCAGAGAUGAGAGAAAGACGAUGUUUCUGGAGGACAGACGAUGAUCUCUGUGUGGAGAGGUUGAGAGUAUAAUGUUGGGACUCCAUCAGUCUUUGUGUGGCAUCGGCUGAAAUCAGUGGAUCUGUAGUUCCCUGAAUCUUCAGUCGUUUCAGUCUCUCGGAGCAGACAGUGUCUUUCAGAGAGAAUCAGUAAACACUCACUUCCUGAGGACAGGGACGCUCUGCAACAUUUAUGCAUUUGUCAGAUGCUUUUAUGCAUAAUGACUUAUGUUGCAGUGUGUAAUAUGUGGAUUAUACAUGAGAUGAGACACAGACCACAGACUGAACUACUGCAUCAACAUGUGCUUUAAUGUGAUUCUCACAGGUGUAUUCACCUUUCAUCAGGUGUGUGGACAAAGAAAGAUCUCAGCAGCUCAUGUUUGCUCAGCACAGUAGCUGCUGGUUUCCUUUUUUGUGUCCUUGAUAUGCUCCUGUUAUCUCCUGGAAGUAAAAGUAGAAGAGAUCUUCCCUAAUCAGUUUCCUGGUUCACUAAGUGCAUUAUUGUAAUAUUCAUAUCAAAGAGCUUUAUAUUUUUAUAGACAUACAUUUUUUAAAUUCUCUCAAACUCUCAAACAAGUUUCAUAAGGGCUAAAAGACUAUGAAGCAUUGUUUUUAAAGCAAAUACUCCUAUAAAAGGCCCUCGGUGAGUCCAGCAUGAAUAGUUAUUAUUUACCGUUUCUUAUGUCCAGUAGAGUGAACUAACUACAAUAUUUCUCUUGUUUCAUGCACUGAAGGCCAUAACAGAUGCACACAGAUGAUGUUCUGUGCAGAUUCAAAUAAAGGCAAAUUAUGUAGGUUCAGUA
ensembl:lncRNA